GAAGGGUGGCCGAGUGGUUGAUGGCACUGGUCUUGAAAACCAGCGUACGAAAGUACCGCAGGUUCGAAUCCUGUCCCUUCC
rnacentral:tRNA from 1 species